AACGAACGCUGGCGGCGCGCCUAAUACAUGCAAGUCGAGCGAGAAGGUGUAGCAAUACACUUGUAAAGCGGCGAACGGGUGAGGAAUGCAUGGGUAACCUACCCUCGAGUGGGGAAUAACUAGCCGAAAGGUUAGCUAAUACCGCAUACGUUUCCGGAACUUCGGUUUCGGAAAGAAAGCAAUACCGUGGGUAUUGCGCUCCUGGAUGGGCUCAUGUCCUAUCAGCUUGUUGGUGAGGUAACGGCUCACCAAGGCUUCGACGGGUAGCUGGUCUGAGAGGACGAUCAGCCACACUGGCACUGCGACACGGGCCAGACUCCUACGGGAGCAGCAGUAAGGAAUAUUGCGCAAUGGACGAAAGUCUGACGCAGCGACGCCGCGUGGGGGGAUGAAGGUCUUCGGAUUGUAAACCCCUUUCGGGAGGGAAGAUGGAGUGGGUAACCACUUGGACGGUACCUCCAGAGCAGCCACGGCUAACUUCGUGCCAGCAGCCGCGGUAAU
rnacentral:rRNA from 1 species